rnacentral:rRNA from 1 species
GAUGAACGCUGGCGGCGUGCCUAAUACAUGCAAGUCGAGCGAACGGACGAGAAGCUUGCUUCUCUGAUGUUAGCGGCGGACGGGUGAGUAACACGUGGAUAACCUACCUAUAAGACUGGGAUAACUUCGGGAAACCGGAGCUAAUACCGGAUAAUAUUUUGAACCGCAUGGUUCAAAAGUGAAAGACGGUCUUGCUGUCACUUAUAGAUGGAUCCGCGCUGCAUUAGCUAGUUGGUAAGGUAACGGCUUACCAAGGCAACGAUGCAUAGCCGACCUGAGAGGGUGAUCGGCCACACUGGAACUGAGACACGGUCCAGACUCCUACGGGAGGCAGCAGUAGGGAAUCUUCCGCAACGGGCGAAAGCCUGACGGAGCAACGCCGCGUGAGUGAUGAAGGCCUUCGGAUCGUAAAACUCUGUUAUUAGGGAAGAACAUAUGUGUAAGUAACUGUGCACAUCUUGACGGUACCUAAUCAGAAAGCCACGGCUAACUACGUG